AGCAGUGCACUGCAUGCGAAAAUCUCAGUGUCCGUGCUAUUUUGAAAUCCAUUGGUGAAUGCAGUUAUUUUACAUUGACGCAGCGCUAGAAUGAGAAGCAACAACAUUCAACCAGUUCCCGGGCAGCUGCCGGCAAAGUAUUUAUUCCUCAAUGGUAGCGAAAAAGGACCAGACUCAAGCCAGAACCAGAGAAAUAAGCCGAAUUCAAUGAAUCCAAUGUUUUUGGGAGCGUAUCCAUCGUUUGGGACCUACAAAAUCACAUUGCGCAGUGCUCCGAGGUGUUAUCAAUAUAAAGGUGACAAUUAGUGCAAAUAAAGCGUGUGAUAGAAUAAGGGCGUAAAUAACAUGACCGAUUUCUCUUCAUCGAUCCUCUCUUCGGCUAAUAAAGGUUAUAAGAUGCAAGUUUGUUGGCAUUUUUUCACCUCAAGAUGCAAGUUUACAUCGUUGCUUAGCGUCCCCAAGUGAAAAUCUGUCAACAAACUUACAUAUUGUCACCUUUGUUUGCGAAAAAGUGAUCGAUAAAGCGAAAUCCAUCAUUUUACGUACGUCCUUAUUCUAACAAACACUUGAAAUGUUUUUAAAAGUUGGUUUUAUAAAUCGAAUAAAAUGUAGUAAUAACAAAGUAAAAUAAAAACAAAUAAA